rnacentral:tRNA from 1 species
GCCUGGGUGGCUCAGUCAGUUAAGUGUCUGACUUUGGCUCAGAUCAUGGUCUCAUGAUUCGUGAGUUCGAGCCCCACGUCAGGCU